UAUCAAUAAGCGGAGCAAAAGGGUCCCUGCAUUGCCCUAAGCUGGAACACAAGGGUCCGCUGCCUUUAGAUUUAGCCGCCCCCACACGUGGUUCCCUUGGAAACACGACGUCAUAAUCGAGGUGGGAAUCCCGUGCCAUAGGGUGUCCAUUCUUGGGAAGUUUCCUUCCACGAGUCGAGUUGUUUGGGAAUGCACCUCUAAGUGGGUGGUAAAUUCCAUCUAAAGCUAAAUAUUGGCGAGAGACCGAUAGCGAACAAGUACAGUGAUGGAAAGAUGAAAAGAACUUUGAAAAGAGAGUGAAAAAGUACGUGAAAUUGUUGAAAGGGAAGGGUAUUUGAUCAGACUUGGUAUUAGAAUAUGGCAGCUCUCGGGUUGUCCUCUAUUCUUUUACUGGGCCAGCAUCGGUUCGGAUGGCAAGAUAAUUACNUUUGAAUGUGGCUCCUCGNAGUGUUAUAGCUUUCGUAAUAUUGCCUGUCUGGACCGAGGACUGCGUCUUUUGACUAGGAUGCUGGCGGUAAUGAUUAAAUACC
rnacentral:rRNA from 1 species